ensembl:snRNA U6 U6 spliceosomal RNA
GUGCUCUCUUCAGCAGCAUAUAUACUAAAAUUGGAACAAUACAGAGAAGAUUAGCAUGGCCGCUGCACAAAUGCAAAUUUGUGAAGUGUUCCAUAUCUUU